AGUAAUACGUAAAUAGUAUUCCUUGAAAUAAAGGGUUAUAUUUGGAACUUGUGUAAACACAGACAUAAAUGUCAAACAAUUAUCUUUCUGAUACUUUACAGGUACCUAAAAAGUUAAGAAUAUGAUACAGAUUCUGUUGAUAUUAAUAAAAAAGAACACAUGGCUCUCACCCUCAAGAGACCCAUGUGAUAAGAUAGAAACCAUGUACAUCUAAUAGAAAUACAAAAGUGUUCUGACUUGUUGGUACAGCCAUAGAGAAAUUAUUUACAGAGAAAUGUUGAAUAAAUUGAGGCAAUACUACUUUAAGGUAGUACUCUUGCACACACACACAAAAAAAAUUAUUCUUGAACUGAAAAAGACAAAGGCAAAAAAACCACUCUGUUCUCAGCCAAUAAUACUUGUGUAUACCCAGUCUUGUAUCAAAAAUAACUUGAAUGUUCAAGGGUUGAAGUGUUAACUCCAGCCAAAUUUCUUGUCCUUUAAAGUUACCCCGCUGUGACUGGCAAUACGGAGGUCACAUACCAUUUCAGCUGAAAUAGCAAAGCUCAGUGGGAAGUAAAGAAUGAUAUUGCCUGCUACUUAUCUCUGAUCCUCUGUCCAGGUUUCUGAGAAACCAUAUCAGGGCAGCAAAUAUAGCUCCAUAGAGAUUUUUUAGAAUCAACCUUUACCAAGGGUUCCUCUCUCAGUAGCUUUCCCUGAUGAUAUAAAGAACCAUGUGUGAUCAGGCUUUUAAUAAAAUGGCACUAAAUACAUUCCCAGUGCAGGAUCAAAUGCUUGGUAUUGUUAAAAGCCAACCUGGGGGGAGGUCCUCCAGAUGUCUGGAGAGGUUGAAGGAGGUCCUCCAGAUGUCUGGUGCCCAGAUGUCUGAGGACACAGUGCAGCUGGGCCUUUCAAGUAACAUUGCUUUGAGAAAGUUAUGAUUUCAAUGGCCAUGCUGACAUCUCAGGAUAGAGUCAAUUUCAUCCAAUUCCACCCAAAGCACAUGGCUUGAUAGUCACACUCAGUUACACAUGGGAAUGUGUAAGAACAUUGUAGUGCAUGUAGAGAAGAAACAAACUCAAAAAUAAAUUUAUAUACCACAUAAAAAAUGUUUUUAACUUUAAAUAUAGGAGAUAUGUGAAAUGAUUGAGACAUUUUGAAUACAUUUCAGAUUUGCUGUUUAAAAUUGGUAUUACAGCAGCAUUGUGGAGGAUAGUUCUAAAAAUGAUUAGACUAGAAUUGAGGCAAUGAGCUAGGAGGCAAUUACCCUAAUAUAAAAUUAAAAUGAUGAGAGGCUGAUCUAAGAGGCAUGUGUAAGAAUGGGAGGGAAAAGACAUGUACAGUCAUAGCAAUGCCAAUGCCUAUUGAUUCAUUGAGUGGGCAGGACAAGAGAAGAAAAGAUCUAGAACAGGGAUUUUAAAGCCUAAGUGAAUUUAGUGAUUUUCUGGGAGACUGUUAAAACACAAAUUAAAAUGCCUCAUACUCAAAUAUCUUGUUUUAAAUGAUAUAGGAUGGAAGGUUUUUUUUUUUAAUCUUCAUAUUUAAUUAACACCCCAGGGGGAUUCUGAGGAACACAUGUUGAGAACACAGGUUUAGGAUGAUUCCCAGCUUUUUGAUUUAGAGAACUGACUUUCUAGUUCUGUUAACUAAAAUUUUAUGAAGAGGAAGAGGAGCAAGGCUGAAAAGGAGAGAGAGAUCAGUUACUCCAUUUUGCCUAAGACUGUACCAGCACCAGCACUGAAAGUCCUCUGUCCUGGAAAAUCCCUCAGCCCUGGACAAAACUGGGCAGUUAGUUUUCCUAAAUAUAGAAGAGAAA
rnacentral:lncRNA from 1 species